GACGUAGGGCGCGAGCGUUGUCCGGAUUUAUUGGGCGUAAAGAGCUCGUAGGCGGCUUGUUGCGUCAGCUGUGAAAACCCGGAGCUCAACUCCGGGCCUGCAGUCGAUACGGGCAGACUGGAGUUCGGCAGGGGAGACUGGAAUUCCUGGUGUAGCGGUGAAAUGCGCAGAUAUCAGGAGGAACACCGGUGGCGAAGGCGGGUCUCUGGGCAGUAACUGACGCUGAGGAGCGAAAGCGUGGGGAGCGAACAGG
rnacentral:rRNA from 1 species